rnacentral:lncRNA from 1 species
GGUUAUCAAUGCCGGGAAGAGCACACACAAUGAAGACCAAGCCAGCUGUGAGGUGCUCACUGUGAAGAAGAAGGCAGGGGCCGUGACCUCAACCCCAAACAGGAACUCAUCCAAGAGACGGUCCUCCCUUCCCAAUGGGGAAGGGCUGCAGCUGAAGGAGAACUCGGUAAGACCCUUCUCGAUCCUUGGUUCUCAGGAAUCCGAGGGUGUUUCCUG